rnacentral:misc_RNA from 1 species
CACCCCUCAAGCCUGGCUUGGUGUUGGGCGACGUCCUCUUUGGGGACGCGCCUCGAAACGUUCGGCGGCGUGGCACCGGCUUUAAGCGUAGCAGAAUCUUUCGCUUCGAAAGUCGGGGCCCCGUCUGCCGGAAGACCUACUCGCAA